rnacentral:piRNA from 1 species
UAAUUCUCGUUUGGAAACCCCCUACCCCU